rnacentral:SRP_RNA from 1 species
ACUGACCCAUUUAGCAAGGGCGUGUAACCCAUGUUGGGGUUUCAAGAUGGUUGGAGGUUGGCUCUUCGUAUUUGGUUGAGACUCUGAAGUGGUCUACUUGCUCACCCAAUACAUGAAGGGAGUUGUGCCUCGCAUUCUGGACGAAAGUCCAAAGUGCAAUGCCUUUAAAUCAUAGGAAACUGUGUGAGGCUUGCUUUAUAGAGCAACUUCACCUUCUGCUCUCUUUGGUUGAUAGAAAACUUGCAAGUUCACAAGAGCCUAAUAACGCCUCAUACAAACUUCAAAACCCGAAAACCUUUCUU